ensembl:lncRNA
GCUUACAGCUCCAAACCUGGUUUUAACUUAGAUACACACCACCAGCUUCCACGACUUUCUGUCUUAACCAUGCUGUGCCCCUUUCCUUCCUGCAUGCAUGCACAACUCCAUUAUCAAAUGCUGGUCCCUGCAAUUGUCACCAGUGCCUGGGGACAGCCUUUGGGCCCAGGUUUCCUCUGGGUGCUGUGCCGCAGGCAGAACUCCUGCUGAUACAGACCCCGUCCCACAGCAGAUCUUGCUGCUUCCCCCCACACCUGUGGGUACAAAGCAGCUUUGUGCCAACCAGCUUAGGAGAGUUGAACCCAGCCUGCAGGAGGGCUCUGUGCCAGUCGGUGCCUGUGCCCUGCUGCUCCCUGAAGGCUGACAGAGCUCAGCGCUGUGUGUGAAGGCAGAUGCCACACUGCAGAGACUGUGAUGUUCGGUGACUGAUUUCUGUGAGAAGCCCCAGCGUUCCCUUGUUUUCAUUUCCUCCAUUGCUGGUGUGUAGUUCCCAACAGGAGAUGGCUUGAUCCCAUCAGCCAUUUGUCACAUAGCAAAAGGGAGAACCACUGCCACCCCAGAUGAGAGGCAAGGAGGUGAGAGCCAAGCACAGAUCCCAGCCCUGGCUGGAUGCACUUGGUGGCAGCGUGUCACUUGGGAGCAUUAAAAGCGAUGCACAAAGAGAGCUUGCAUCUCAACAAGGCAGGCACAGAUGUCAGCACAGCCUUCGGCAACAGCUCGUAUGUAUCUUCAGAUGGGGGAAGCACAAUUGGUGCAAGGUGGAGCAGCUCAGGGCAGGAUUCCCUUCGUGGCCAGGACCAGAGGGCACCACAGCAGUGCAGGGAAAUGGUUCAAGCUGCAGCUCCAGGAACAACACACCCCAACUGCCCUCCAACAGAAACAGCUUUUACUGAGCGCUGCUGGGUGCCACGCAGGACUGGCAUUGCACAGAGAGCAAGCAGGCAGCGGGGCACGCCAAGAGGAGUGUGGGGGUACCAGGCCUCCCUGUACAGCCCAUUUCCCCCGAAAGCACUCACUGAUUGGGACCGGUGAUUUCGGCACACAGUGAGGCAGCUCCCCCCGCCUUCUGUGAUUUACAGCCAAAUCUGAUUUUCCACAUCUGCUCAUCCCCAGCCAGAUCUAGGCCUCUGCCACCCCACCGGAGCCAUUCGUAGGAGGAGAUGGCAUGGGGCUUUCCUCACAGGCUCCUGCUGAGCACGGUACAGCUUUUGCCAUCAAAGUCUCCCUGUUGUGAAGAUAACUUUACACAGGCAAUACCAGCUAAUGCCGCAGUUAGAUGGCUGACGGUUAUUGUGUGUUAUCUAUUUCUGUCCUCUGCCAAACGUAGCAUUUAUUGGGUUCAAACUAAGGGUAACAGCAGGUAACCAACACGUGUGCUGUGAAAAUGAAUUCUGUGAAACCAGAAACAGAGCUGCUGUGAAGUUCCCCAGCUCCGAUUGGCUUCUGCUCCCACAGAUGUUAAAUCUCAGCAAUAAUCUCCAUCAUCUGGGUCCAGAUUAUGGGCAGAGCCAAACCACUGCUGUGUAGACUUGAGGAUUGCUUUAAUGUGCAAACCCAUCAACAAAGGAUCACAGUAUUCCCAAGAGUGGUAAAGGUGAUCUGGCACCGCAUCUCUUGCCCACUGCAUCUGAGAAAGGGAAAUUUUAAUUUGAAUAGCUCCAUCAGCAGGGGAACUUAAUGUACAUUCUGCAGGCCAGUGACC